rnacentral:rRNA from 1 species
AACGCGAAGAACCUUACCUGGGCUUGACAUGCAUCGUGUCGCCGGUGAAGCCGGCUAGUGUAGCAAUACACGCUUUGCACAGGUGCUGCAUGGCUGUCGUCAGCUCGUGUCGUGAGAUGUUGGGUUAAGUCCCGCAACGAGCGCAACCCUCGUCGAGUGUUGCCAUCAUUAAGUUGGGCACUCACUCGAGACCGCCGUUGAUAAGACGGAGGAAGGUGGGGAUGACGUCAAGUCAGCAUGGCCCUUACGUCCUGGGCUACACACGUGCUACAAUGGCCGGAACAACGGGCAGCAAGACCGCGAGGUCAAGCGAAUCCCAUAAAGCCGGUCUCAGUUCGGAUUGCAGGCUGCAACUCGCCUGCAUGAAGUCGGAAUCGCUAGUAACCGCAGAUCAGCUACGCUGCGGUGAAUACGUUCCCGGGCCUUGUACACACCGACUGUAC